CCAACGAGGGCACUGGGAAUUUCGCCGGCAUUUCUCAUCCCUCAAACCUCCCCACCGGCCGGCACCAAUGGAAAAAAACGCACGGAGCACGGAAAGGAGCCCGUGAGGAGCCCGCAGCACCCAUGUCGGUGCGAGGGCCGGGUCUCCAACUUCUCCCACUCUCCCUUUAGUUCCCUGCGCGGCGAGCUCCGGCCGGGGGUGGUGUACGAGGCAGCUCCGCUCCCCUCAUCCCCCCCGGCCCUAAGAUGUCUCCCUGCCGCCGGCGGGAGCAGCAGCAGCAGCAGCAGCAGCAGGAGGAGGCGGCCCGGAGCUCGGCCCCGCACCUGCCGCAGCCCUUGCGACCCCCACACCCCGAUCCGUGCCGCCGAGCAGGGAGCGGGGCAGAAAGCAGAGCGUGAAGGAGACGGAGGAGGCGGUCGCGGCCCCCAGCCCCCCGCAGCCCCCCGCUCACCUUUGCAGCGACCGGCUCAGCGCAUCUUCCCCCCUCCCCGCCUCCCGCUGCUGGCUCUGGUGGUGGCGGCGGAUCGGGGCGCCCCGCGCAGCCCCUCCCUCAGCUCCCGCUGCCUCUUCACCCCCACAUCCCGGUGCCGGCGGUGCCGGCGGCAGCUGCUCCUAAAUUCACGGCGCUCCGGCGGCAUGAAGUCAUCCUCUCCGCCCCCUCCCCGGGCCGCCGCACUCCGCUCUCGCCGAGGACGGGGAGGGGGGGUUGAGGCCGCCCCGCUGCAUCCCCCCCACCCCCCUCCCGGCUCCCUGUCCCUCAGCGCCCGGCCCCGCGGCACCGUACCAGGGCAGGGCAGGGUCCCGCGGCGCUGCGAGGCCGGAGCCGCGGGGGGAGCCUUCCCCCCGGGGUGUGCGUGUGUCUGUUUUUCAAGGAAAAUCCGCUGUAAUCCCUCGUGUGGGCGCCCGGCUCCCCCCUCCUCCUCCUCCCGCCGGCCUCAGGGCGCGCAAGCGCUUCGCAGCCUGCGCCCCCAAAAAAACGCCUUGCGCCCCCAAAAACGCCUUUCCCUGGGGGGCCGAGGGGAGCUGCUUGGUUCGGGGGGUUCUGCUCCGUGCCGGGGGGUGGAGGGCAGAAGAAGGGCCUAG
rnacentral:lncRNA from 1 species